rnacentral:lncRNA from 1 species
GAUACAUCCAUAUAAGAAAUUCAACUAAAAAUAACAAACAUAAAAAAUAACAAAAAAAUAUUAAAAAAAUAACAAACACUAACAAAUCAAGUUCCUCGUUUUCGUUAUAACUAAAAAGCCCUAAUUUUUUACCUGUGAAAAUCGAAAAGAAAUGAUGAAGAACUCGAAGUUGUUGUCGCCGGAGAAUGUUGUCACGUCGACUGAUGGUCUAAAGUAAAAAACGAACGGGCAAGAACUCAAAACUAUUUGUCGCCAGAGGUUGAAGUUGCAUAAGAUUCAACAAGAACAGCAACAACAAACCCAGUGUAUUCCCACAUAGUGAGGUCUGGGGAGGGUAAGAUACACACAGUCCAUACCUCUACCUCUAAAGAAGUAGAAAGGUUGUUUUCGAUAGACCCCCGCCUCUGAAGUUGCAUAAGAUUGAAGGGAGAAAUUUGAAAAGUUGUUGGUUGGGAGAAGUUAGAGAGAGAAACUAUCGAGAGAAAGAGAAAAGAGAGAUUGAUUUGCAGA